rnacentral:rRNA from 1 species
CCGCGGUAAUACGAAGGAUGCAAGCGUUAUCCGGAAUUAUUGGGUUUAAAGGGUGCGUAGGCGGACUAAUAAGUCAGUGGUGAAAGCCUGCAGCUUAACUGCAGAAUUGCCGUUGAUACUGUUAGUCUUGAGUACAGUUGAGGUAGGCGGAAUGUGUCAUGUAGCGGUGAAAUGCUUAGAUAUGACACAGAACACCGAUUGCGAAGGCAGCUUGCUAAGCUGUAACUGACGCUGAGGCACGAAAGCGUGGGGAGCAAACCG